UUAAGUUAUUAAGGGCGCACGGUGGAUGCCUUGGCACUAGAAGCCGAUGAAGGACGUUACUAACGACGAUAUGCUUUGGGGAGCUGUAAGUAAGCUUUGAUCCAGAGAUUUCCGAAUGGGGAAACCCAGCAUGAGUUAUGUCAUGUUAUCGAUAUGUGAAUACAUAGCAUAUCAGAAGGCACACCCGGAGAACUGAAACAUCUUAGUACCCGGAGGAAGAGAAAGAAAAUUCGAUUCCCUUAGUAGCGGCGAGCGAAACGGGAAGAGCCCAAACCAACAAGCUUGCUUGUUGGGGUUGUAGGACACUCUAUACGGAGUUACAAAGGACGACAUUAGACGAAUCAUCUGGAAAGAUGAAUCAAAGAAGGUAAUAAUCCUGUAGUCGAAAAUGUUGUCUCUCUUGAGUGGAUCCUGAGUACGACGGAGCACGUGAAAUUCCGUCGGAAUCUGGGAGGACCAUCUCCUAAGGCUAAAUACUCUCUAGUGACCGAUAGUGAACCAGUACCGUGAGGGAAAGGUGAAAAGCACCCCGGAAGGGGAGUGAAAUAGAACCUGAAACCGUGUGCUUACAAGUAGUCAGAGCCCGUUAAUGGGUGAUGGCGUGCCUUUUGUAGAAUGAACCGGCGAGUUACGAUUUGAUGCAAGGUUAAGCAGUAAAUGUGGAGCCGUAGCGAAAGCGAGUCUGAAUAGGGCGUUUAGUAUUUGGUCGUAGACCCGAAACCAGGUGAUCUACCCUUGGUCAGGUUGAAGUUCAGGUAACACUGAAUGGAGGACCGAACCGACUUACGUUGAAAAGUGAGCGGAUGAACUGAGGGUAGCGGAGAAAUUCCAAUCGAACCUGGAGAUAGCUGGUUCUCUCCGAAAUAGCUUUAGGGCUAGCCUCAAGUGAUGAUUAUUGGAGGUAGAGCACUGUUUGGACGAGGGGCCCCUCUCGGGUUACCGAAUUCAGACAAACUCCGAAUGCCAAUUAAUUUAACUUGGGAGUCAGAACAUGGGUGAUAAGGUCCGUGUUCGAAAGGGAAACAGCCCAGACCACCAGCUAAGGUCCCAAAAUAUAUGUUAAGUGGAAAAGGAUGUGGCGUUGCCCAGACAACUAGGAUGUUGGCUUAGAAGCAGCCAUCAUUUAAAGAGUGCGUAAUAGCUCACUAGUCGAGUGACACUGCGCCGAAAAUGUACCGGGGCUAAACAUAUUACCGAAGCUGUGGAUUGUCCUUUGGACAAUGGUAGGAGAGCGUUCUAAGGGCGUUGAAGCAUGAUCGUAAGGACAUGUGGAGCGCUUAGAAGUGAGAAUGCCGGUGUGAGUAGCGAAAGACGGGUGAGAAUCCCGUCCACCGAUUGACUAAGGUUUCCAGAGGAAGGCUCGUCCGCUCUGGGUUAGUCGGGUCCUAAGCUGAGGCCGACAGGCGUAGGCGAUGGAUAACAGGUUGAUAUUCCUGUACCACCUAUAAUCGUUUUAAUCGAUGGGGGGACGCAGUAGGAUAGGCGAAGCGUGCGAUUGGAUUGCACGUCUAAGCAGUAAGGCUGAGUAUUAGGCAAAUCCGGUACUCGUUAAGGCUGAGCUGUGAUGGGGAGAAGACAUUGUGUCUUCGAGUCGUUGAUUUCACACUGCCGAGAAAAGCCUCUAGAUAGAAAAUAGGUGCCCGUACCGCAAACCGACACAGGUAGUCAAGAUGAGAAUUCUAAGGUGAGCGAGCGAACUCUCGUUAAGGAACUCGGCAAAAUGACCCCGUAACUUCGGGAGAAGGGGUGCUCUUUAGGGUUAACGCCCAGAAGAGCCGCAGUGAAUAGGCCCAAGCGACUGUUUAUCAAAAACACAGGUCUCUGCUAAACCGUAAGGUGAUGUAUAGGGGCUGACGCCUGCCCGGUGCUGGAAGGUUAAGAGGAGUGGUUAGCUUCUGCGAAGCUACGAAUCGAAGCCCCAGUAAACGGCGGCCGUAACUAUAACGGUCCUAAGGUAGCGAAAUUCCUUGUCGGGUAAGUUCCGACCCGCACGAAAGGCGUAACGAUUUGGGCACUGUCUCAACGAGAGACUCGGUGAAAUCAUAGUACCUGUGAAGAUGCAGGUUACCCGCGACAGGACGGAAAGACCCCGUGGAGCUUUACUGUAGCCUGAUAUUGAAAUUCGGCACAGCUUGUACAGGAUAGGUAGGAGCCUUUGAAACGUGAGCGCUAGCUUACGUGGAGGCGCUGGUGGGAUACUACCCUAGCUGUGUUGGCUUUCUAACCCGCACCACUUAUCGUGGUGGGAGACAGUGUCAGGCGGGCAGUUUGACUGGGGCGGUCGCCUCCUAAAAGGUAACGGAGGCGCUCAAAGGUUCCCUCAGAAUGGUUGGAAAUCAUUCAUAGAGUGUAAAGGCAUAAGGGAGCUUGACUGCGAGACCUACAAGUCGAGCAGGGUCGAAAGACGGACUUAGUGAUCCGGUGGUUCCGCAUGGAAGGGCCAUCGCUCAACGGAUAAAAGCUACCCCGGGGAUAACAGGCUUAUCUCCCCCAAGAGUUCACAUCGACGGGGAGGUUUGGCACCUCGAUGUCGGCUCAUCGCAUCCUGGGGCUGUAGUCGGUCCCAAGGGUUGGGCUGUUCGCCCAUUAAAGCGGUACGCGAGCUGGGUUCAGAACGUCGUGAGACAGUUCGGUCCCUAUCCGUCGUGGGCGUAGGAAAUUUGAGAGGAGCUGUCCUUAGUACGAGAGGACCGGGAUGGACAUACCUCUGGUGUACCAGUUGUCGUGCCAACGGCAUAGCUGGGUAGCUAUGU
rnacentral:rRNA from 8 species